UACGUAGGGUGCAAGCGUUGUCCGGAAUUAUUGGGCGUAAAGAGCUCGUAGGCGGUCUGUCACGUCGGCUGUGAAAACCCGAGGCUCAACCUCGGGCCUGCAGUCGAUACGGGCAAACUAGAGUACUGCAGGGGAGACUGGAAUUCCUGGUGUAGCGGUGAAAUGCGCAGAUAUCAGGAGGAACACCGGUGGCGAAGGCGGGUCUCUGGGCAGUAAACUGACGC
rnacentral:rRNA from 1 species